GGCCAGCAGCCGCGGUAAUACGAAGGGUGCAAGCGUUACUCGGAAUUACUGGGCGUAAAGCGUGCGUAGGUGGUUCGUUAAGUCAGAUGUGAAAGCCCCGGGCUCAACCUGGGAAUUGCAUUUGAUACUGGCGGGCUAGAGUGCGGUAGAGGAGAGUGGAAUUCCCGGUGUAGCAGUGAAAUGCGUAGAGAUCGGGAGGAACAUCAGUUGCGAAGGCGGCUCUCUGGACCAGCACUGACACUGAGGCACGAAAGCGUGGGGAGCAAACAGGAUUAGAUACCCUGGUAGUCCACGCCCUAAACGAUGCGAACUGGACGUUGGGAGCAAUCAGGCUCUCAGUGUCGAAGCUAACGCGUUAAGUUCGCCGCCUGGGGAGUACGGUCGCAAGACUGAAACUCAAAGGAAUUGACGGGGGCCCGCACA
rnacentral:rRNA from 1 species